CCUACGGGGGGCAGCAGUGAGGAAUAUUGGUCAAUGGACGAGAGUCUGAACCAGCCAAGUAGCGUGAAGGAUGACUGCCCUAUGGGUUGUAAACUUCUUUUAUAAAGGAAUAAAACGAGGCACGUGUGCCUUUUUGCAUGUACUUUAUGAAUAAGGAUCGGCUAACUCCGUGCCAGCAGCCGCGGUAAUACGGAGGAUGCGAGCGUUAUCCGGAUUUAUUGGGUUUAAAGGGUGCGUAGGCGGACUGGAAAGUCAGCGGUAAAAUCGAGAGGCUCAACCUCUUUCCGCCGUUGAAACUGUCGGUC
rnacentral:rRNA from 1 species